GUUGCUGCAGGCUUGCAGAUGAGCUUAGGUUCAACAAAACAACAGGCGUACGAAUUUUAAUUACGAUAGAUGUUAGUCACUUCGAUGGUAGAUUAACGACAGAUGUGAGAAUGGUGUAGAAUUUUUCUGAAAGAAGUCAAUGACGAAAUCCGGGUAGUCCCUUAAAAAACCCCGGCUAAGAUCUUGUGUUCCAAACGGACUCUUUUAGAACAAGGCUUUAAUUCCUUUGCUAAGAUGGCUCUAUUUCUAGAAGUACUAAUAUUAUUGGGUUCGUUUAUUUUAGUGUGGAUCAGGUUGGAAGAGUUUUUUUUUUUUGAACUGGUGGUAAAUUACUCAAUCAAAACAGUUUUUACAAUCAAGCUGUAACAAACGCUCCACACAGGGAGGAACAACUUCACUCAACACACCACCCUGUAAAGCAUUCAAACCUAAUCUUGCUAACUCAUGAGCAACCACAUUGUUAAGACGACUAGAGAAAGUAAACUUGAUGCCUGGAUCAAAAGGAACGAGGUGACGAAUCUCCUUGAUAAUCGGUCUCAGCGUUGAUCUUGUUUCAGAAUCGUCUAAGAGGAGCAAGAUAAGGUUCUUGCAGUCGCUCUCCACGACCAACGGCAAAUGCAUGAAUCUCCUGGCGAGAAAGCUAACUUGAGUUAUCUUGAUUGCUUCUAGCAAAAUUAACCUCUUCCUAUUUGUCUUAGAAAAGUUAGCUCCCGUGAUGACGUUGUCAAAGAAAAUGGGAGGAAAUGAAACAAUUAUUAAGACACCAAAUGAGCAGAGUUUUUAAAAGUUGUGUGUAUGUGACCCCGGUUUUUUGUUUCCUGGCAAGCUUGGUCGAUUACACCUCCGGAUUGACAAGCCAAAAAGUCUUGCUUCAGAGCCAGGUCUAUCUGUAGUGU
rnacentral:lncRNA from 1 species